rnacentral:lncRNA from 1 species
CAAGGGCUGGCCUCAGGACUACAUUUCCCACAAUGCCGCGGGGCGGGCGCUCUCGCGAGAUCUGGCGGAAGCGGCGGGGCGCGGCCCGGAAGUGGAGCCGCCGCCGGAGCCACCAUGGCCGAGACCGACCCCAAGAGCGUCCAGGACCUGACGGCCGUGGUGCAGACAUUGCUCCAGCAAAUGCAGGACAAGUUUCAAACCAUGUCUGACCAAAUCAUUGGAAGAAAUAUCCUUUUCUAAACUCAGAUGGGGGCGGGAUUGCAAGUGUCACCGAGUCUGUGGGCCAGUGGGGUUUGUAAGAGAGGUUGCCAACAACUCAAGAUAAGUCAUGGAAGAUUACUUAUUCUUUUUUUUUUCUACAAAUCCUUGGAAUUAAAAAAUGGCUCUUUGCAACUCCAGUGUGUGAAAGCAUUUUUAUAUUGUUACAGAGCUUGCAUUCCUAAUGUACAUUGUAUAGUUGGGGUAGGGUAGUUUCUAUUUUGAUUUUGUGUACUGUAAUUUCACUUUUUGAAUUCUUGUAACGAGGAUCACUUGGUUGUGUUAUUAAAACACAGAUCUUAUGGAUCUCAACUCCUGGGUGUAUUUUUUUGUGGAGUCACUUUUAUCUCUUUCCUGUACUUUUGUAGAUGUUUCAUGUUUGAUAGCUCAGCAUUUAGUGACUCCCUCCAAAUGGGAGCCUUGCCUUGUGAGUUUGUGGAGUGAAGCACAAGAUUGAAACUUAUUGAAUUGCAUUAAUUGUAGCUCUGAGCAUCAGGCACUCUCUAGCUGAGGAUUGUGUUGUCUUUCAUCCAUGUGAUAAAGGUGAUUUUUGGAAACAAGAGGCACUGAACAUCAAAGCCAUCUCUCCUGCUGCUGGUGUUCCUGGAGCAUCAAGGAGAUGCAGGUUGACCAUGGGAGACAUCUGAGCAGCCACUGCCACCCCAGCUGUGACACCAGGAACUGCUCACAGAGCAAUCUCACCGUGGGACUGAAGGUUUUUAACAUGUCCCUUUGAUCCAUGGCUGGAUUAAAGGAGUGGGAUUGAUGGACAGGGGUUGUGGCAAUGUCUGUGUGGGGUUUUCAGUGGGAAUCACUGCCUUGCUCACAGCAGCUUGCUAGCAAAGCUGUGAUACAUGAACAAAAAAUGAGAGAAUCCAGGUAGAUUUUUAAAGCCUUGCUUCUCUCAGAAUAACAACUUCAAAAUAUUUGAUUUUUUUGGUUUGCUUUUCUAAUCAUACCCACAUCUUUGGGCAUGGAGUGUGUAUUUAUUACAUUUUGGCCACGGAAGGUGUGUUUGGGAGAGUCUGAACUGUGUCACUUGUGAAGAAAAAUGACCAAUGUCAGCCAUUCCUGACAAUCACUGCAAUGCUCCUCCAGCUUCAAAUGCAAAUUUCAGCAAGCACUAGUGGCAGGCAGCAGUUGCAGGUGCACCACACUCCAGCUGCUCCUUAAAUGCCACCAAAUUAAGCACUUGAGUGCUGAGAAGGCAAUAUGACAGGUCAUUUUUCCAAACUCACUGUAAUAAAAGCUCAUCAUAACGGGGGAAUUUUGUGAAC